GAUUAGAUACCCUAGUAUAAAAAGAUUAGUAAGAUUAUUAUGUUUAGAAAUUUAAAAUUUUUGGCGGUUAAUUAUUAUGAUAGAGGAGCUUGUUAUAUAGAAUUAACUCUUUAUAUUUUAUUAAUUGUUUUGUUUAUUUAUCUCCGUUAUAAGGUGAAAACUUUAUAAGUUUUUGUUUUGAUUUCAGGUCAAGAUGUAGCAAUAAUUAGAAUUAAUUAGCUACAUUAAUGUAAUUAUGGAGUUAUUAAAGUAAGGUUAUAAGGAAAUUGAAUUUAAUUGUAAUUUAAUUUAAAAUGAUUAAAUGAAAUUUUAUAAUUUAUGUAUAUAUUGCCCGUCACUUCUUUUGGUAAAAGAGAAUAAGUCGUAACAAAGUA
rnacentral:rRNA from 1 species